rnacentral:rRNA from 1 species
CCCUGGCUCAGGAUGAACGCGGGCGGCGUGCCUAAUACAUGCAAGUCGAGCGAAUGGAUUAAGAGCUUGCUCUUAUGAAGUUAGCGGCGGACGGGUGAGUAACACGUGGGUAACCUACCCAUAAGACUGGGAUAACUCCGGGAAACCGGGGCUAAUACCGGAUAAUAUUUUGAACUGCAUAGUUCGAAAUUGAAAGGCGGCUUCGGCUGUCACUUAUGGAUGGACCCGCGUCGCAUUAGCUAGUUGGUGAGGUAACGGCUCACCAAGGCGACGAUGCGUAGCCGACCUGAGAGGGUGAUCGGCCACACUGGGACUGAGACACGGCCCAGACUCCUACGGGAGGCAGCAGUAGGGAAUCUUCCGCAAUGGACGAAAGUCUGACGGAGCAACGCCGCGUGAGUGAUGAAGGCUUUCGGGUCGUAAAACUCUGUUGUUAGGGAAGAACAAGUGCUAGUUGAAUAAGCUGGCACCUUGACGGUACCUAACCAGAAAGCCACGGCUAACUA